CGCGUAAGCGACUGUGAAAGUCUGUUGUGAAAUUCCGGGGCUCAACCCCGGAGCUGCAAUGGAAACUUCGCAGAUUGAGGGUAGACGGAGAAAAUGGAAUUCCACAAGUAGCGGUGAAAUGCGUAGAUAUGUGGAAGAACACCGGAGGCGAAGGCGGUUUUCUAGUUUAUUCCUGACGCUGAGGCGCGAAAGCAAGGGGAGCAAACAGGAUUAGAUACCCUGGUAGUCC
rnacentral:rRNA from 1 species